GAUGAAGAACGUAGCGAAAUGCGAUAAGUAGUGUGAAUUGUAGAAUUCAGUGAAUCAUCGAAUCUUUGAACGCACAUUGCGCCCCUUGGUAUUCCAUGGGGCAUGCCUGUUCGAGCGUCAUUUGUACCCUCAAGCUUUGCUUGGUGUUGGGCGUCUUGUCGUAUUACGACUCGCCUUAAAUACAUUGGCAGCCGGCACUUUGGCCUAGGAGCGCAGCACAUUUUGCGAUCGUAGCCCGUUGUACUGGCGUCCAUCAAGAACAUUUACCACGUUUGACCUCGGAUCAGGUAGGGAUACCCGCUGAACUUAAGCAUAUCAAUAAGCGGAGGA
rnacentral:misc_RNA from 1 species